rnacentral:rRNA from 1 species
GCUACAGGCUUAACACAUGCAAGUCGAGGGGCAGCAUGGUCUUAGCUUGCUAAGGCCGAUGGCGACCGGCGCACGGGUGAGUAACACGUAUCCAACCUGCCGUCUACUCUUGGACAGCCUUCUGAAAGGAAGAUUAAUACAAGAUGGCAUCAUGAGUCCGCAUGUUCACAUGAUUAAAGGUAUUCCGGUAGACGAUGGGGAUGCGUUCCAUUAGAUAGUAGGCGGGGUAACGGCCCACCUAGUCUUCGAUGGAUAGGGGUUCUGAGAGGAAGGUCCCCCACAUUGGAACUGAGACACGGUCCAAACUCCUACGGGAGGCAGCAGUGAGGAAUAUUGGUCAAUGGGCGAGAGCCUGAACCAGCCAAGUAGCGUGAAGGAUGACUGCCCUAUGGGUUGUAAACUUCUUUUAUAAAGGAAUAAAGUCGGGUAUGGAUACCCGUUUGCAUGUACUUUAUGAAUAAGGAUCGGCUAACUCCGUGCCAGCAGCCGCGGUAAUACGGAGGAUCCGAGCGUUAUCCGGAUUUAUUGGGUUUAAAGGGAGCGUAGAUGGAUGUUUAAGUCAGUUGUGAAAGUUUGCGGCUCAACCGUAAAAUUGCAGUUGAUACUGGAUAUCUUGAGUGCAGUUGAGGCAGGCGGAAUUCGUGGUGUAGCGGUGAAAUGCUUAGAUAUCACGAAGAACUCCGAUUGCGAAGGCAGCCUGCUAAGCUGCAACUGACAUUGAGGCUCGAAAGUGUGGGUAUCAAACAGGAUUAGAUACCCUGGUAGUCCACACGGUAAACGAUGAAUACUCGCUGUUUGCGAUAUACAGCAAGCGGCCAAGCGAAAGCGUUAAGUAUUCCACCUGGGGAGUACGCCGGCAACGGUGAAACUCAAAGGAAUUGACGGGGGCCCGCACAAGCGGAGGAACAUGUGGUUUAAUUCGAUGAUACGCGAGGAGCCUUACCCGGGCUUAAAUUGCAGAUGAAUUACGGUGAAAGCCGUAAGCCGCAAGGCAUCUGUGAAGGUGCUGCAUGGUUGUCGUCAGCUCGUGCCGUGAGGUGUCGGCUUAAGUGCCAUAACGAGCGCAACCCUUGUUGUCAGUUACUAACAGGUUCCGCUGAGGACUCUGACAAGACUGCCAUCGUAAGAUGUGAGGAAGGUGGGGAUGACGUCAAAUCAGCACGGCCCUUACGUCCGGGGCUACACACGUGUUACAAUGGGGGGUACAGAGGGCCGCUACCACGCGAGUGGAUGCCAAUCCCCAAAACCUCUCUCAGUUCGGACUGGAGUCUGCAACCCGACUCCACGAAGCUGGAUUCGCUAGUAAUCGCGCAUCAGCCACGGCGCGGUGAAUACGUUCCCGGGCCUUGUACACACCGCCCGUCAAGCCAUGGGAGCCGGGGGUACCUGAAGUGCGUAACCGCGAGGAGCGCCCUAGGGUAAAACUGGUGACUGGGGCUAAGUA